AUACGGAUCAUACCAGCACUAAUGCACCGGAUACCAUCAUAACUCCGCAGAUAAGCAUGCUUGGGUGAGAGUAGUACUAGGAUGGGUGACCUCCUGGGAAUUCCUCGUGUGGCACCUC
rnacentral:rRNA from 2 species